rnacentral:rRNA from 1 species
GUGGGGAAUAUUGGACAAUGGGGGGAACCCUGAUCCAGCCAUGCCGCGUGUGUGAAGAAGGCCUUUUGGUUGUAAAGCACUUUAAGCGAGGAGGAGGCUACCGAGAUUAAUACUCUUGGAUAGUGGACGUUACUCGCAGAAUAAGCACCGGCUAACUCUGUGCCAGCAGCCGCGGUAAUACAGAGGGUGCAAGCGUUAAUCGGAUUUACUGGGCGUAAAGCGCGCGUAGGUGGCCAAUUAAGUCAAAUGUGAAAUCCCCGAGCUUAACUUGGGAAUUGCAUUCGAUACUGGUUGGCUAGAGUAUGGGGGAGGAUGGUAGAAUUCCAGGUGUAGCGGUGAAAUGCGUAGAGAUCUGGAGGAAUACCGAUGGCGAAGGCAGCCAUCUGGCCUAAGACUGACACUGAGGUGCGAAAGCAUGGGGAGCAAACAGGAUUAGAUACCCGGGUAGUCC